rnacentral:rRNA from 1 species
UACGAAGGGGGCUAGCGUUGUUCGGAAUCACUGGGCGUAAAGCGCACGUAGGCGGAUCUUUAAGUCAGGGGUGAAAUCCCGAGGCUCAACCUCGGAACUGCCUUUGAUACUGGGGAUCUCGAGUCCGAGAGAGGUGAGUGGAACUGCGAGUGUAGAGGUGAAAUUCGUAGAUAUUCGCAAGAACACCAGUGGCGAAGGCGGCUCACUGGCCCGGAACUGACGCUGAGGUGCGAAAGCGUGGGGAGCAAACAGG